rnacentral:rRNA from 1 species
UGGGUGAUCUGCCCUGCACUUUGGGAUAAGCCUGGGAAACUGGGUCUAAUACCGAAUACACCUCAUGGAUUGCAUGGUUUGUGGGGGAAAGCUUUUGCGGUGUGGGAUGGGCCCGCGGCCUAUCAGCUUGUUGGUGAGGUUACGGCUCACCAAGGCGACGACGGGUAGCCGGCCUGAGAGGGUGUCCCGGCCACACUGGGACUGAGAUACCGGCCCAGACCUCCGUACGGGGAGCA